CAUCUAUAAUUUUUGGGAAUCAAAGCUAGGGUUUCAGUUUCAACCACCCUUUACCCCUUUUGCGAUUCAACUCUAUUCGAUUGGGCUUUGAUUCAUUU